UAAACCAGGUUUUCCGAAGGAAAAAACUGGUUAUUAGAUUGGCGAAUGCGGGCGGGCUGGCUGGCGGGCUGGCGGGCUGGCUGGCGGGCUGGCGGAAUAAGCUUGUCCGGGCCAUAACUAUGUCGUUCAUUGUCAGAUUUUAAAAUCAUUUGGCACAUUUGUUCACCAUCAUUGGACGGUGUGUCGCGCGAAAUAAUUACGUCGAUAUCUCCAAGGUCAAGGUCACACUUUGAGUUCAAAGGUCAAAAAUGGCCAUAAAUGAGCUUGUCCUGGCCAUAACUAUGUCAUUCAUUGUGAGAUUUUAAAAUCAUUUGGCACAUUUGUUCACCAUCAUGGGACGGUGUGUCCCACGAAAGAAUCACGUCAAUAUCUCCAAUGUCAAGGUCGCCACGACUAAAAAUAGAUUUAAAAAAAAAAAAAAAAAACUUACAAAGGGGGUUAAUUUUUUUUGGUCAUUUCAAAAGUU